GAUCCUGGCUUAGGAUGAACGCUAGCUACAGGCUUAACACAUGCAAGUCGAGGGGCAGCAUUGGAGUAGCAAUACUCAGAUGGCGACCGGCGCACGGGUGAGUAACACGUAUCCAACCUGCCGCUUACUCGGGGAUAGCCUUUCGAAAGAAAGAUUAAUACCCGAUGGUAUAAAGAGUUCGCAUGUUCUCUUUAUUAAAGAAUUUCGGUAAGCGAUGGGGAUGCGUUCCAUUAGAUAGUUGGCGGGGUAACGGCCCACCAAGUCUACGAUGGAUAGGGGUUCUGAGAGGAAGGUCCCCCACAUUGGAACUGAGACACGGUCCAAACUCCUACGGGAGGCAGCAGUGAGGAAUAUUGGUCAAUGGACGAGAGUCUGAACCAGCCAAAGUAGCGUGAAGGAUGACUGCCCUAUGGGUUGUAAACUUCUUUUAUAAGGGAAUAAAGUGAGGGACGUGUCCCUUUUUGUAUGUACCUUAUGAAUAAGGAUCGGCUAACUCCGUGCCAGCCGCGGC
rnacentral:rRNA from 1 species